UCAUAAUAACUUAACGAAUCGCAUGGCCUUGUGCCGGCGAUGGUUCAUUCAAAUUUCUGCUAUCAACUUUCGAUGGUAGAGUAGUGGUCUACCAUGGUUUCAACGGGUAACGGGGAAUUAGGGUUCUAUUCCGGAGAGGGAGCCUGAGAAACGGCUACCACAUCCAAGGAAGGCAGCAGGCGCGCAAAUUACCCAAUCCCGACACGGGGAGGUAGUGACAAUAAAUACUGAUACAGGGCUCUUUUGGGUCUUGUAAUUGGAAUGAGUACAAUUUAAAUCCCUUAACGAGGAACAAUUGGAGGGCAAGUCUGGUGCCAGCAGCCGCGGUAAUUCCAGCUCCAAUAGCGUAUAUUAAAAUUGUUGCAGUUAAAAAGCUCGUAGUUGAACUUCAGAUUUGGUCGGGUGGUCCGCUUCACAGCGUGUUACUGCUUGGUGGGUCUUGUCUCUUGGUGAACCAUUGUGCCCUUUAUUGGUGUGCUUUGGGGAACCAGGACUUUUACUUGAGAAAAUUAGAGUGUUCAAAGCAGGCUAUGCCUGGAUACAUUAGCAUGGAAUAAUAGAAUAGGACGUGUGGUUCUAUUUGUGGGUUCUAGAAUCGCGUAAUGAUUAAUAGGGAUAGUUGGGGGCAUUGGUAUUCAGU
rnacentral:rRNA from 1 species